rnacentral:rRNA from 1 species
GUACGGGAGGCAGCAGUAAGGAAUAUUGGUCAAUGGACGCAAGUCUGAACCAGCCAUGCCGCGUGAAGGAUUAAGGCCCUCUGGGUUGUAAACUUCUUUUAUAGGGGACGAAAAAAGGGCUUUCUAGCUCGUCUGACGGUACCCUAGGAAUAAGCACCGGCUAACUCCGUGCCAGCAGCCGCGGUAAUACGGAGGGUGCAAGCGUUAUCCGGAUUUACUGGGUUUAAAGGGUGCGUAGGUGGGUUUGUAAGUCAGUGGUGAAAUCUUCGAGCUUAACUCGGAAACUGCCAUUGAUACUAUAGAUCUUGAAUCAUCUAGAGGUAAGCGGAAUAUGUCAUGUAGCGGUGAAAUGCUUAGAUAUGACAUAGAACACCAAUUGCGAAGGCAGCUUACUAUGGGUGUAUUGACACUGAGGCACGAAAGCGUGGGGAUCAAACAGGAUUAGAUACCCCUGUAGUCC